rnacentral:rRNA from 1 species
CCGCAAGGGGAGUGGCAGACGGGUGAGUAACGCGUGGGAAUCUACCCAGAUCUUCGGAACAACUGAGGGAAACUUCAGCUAAUACCGGAUACGCCCUACGGGGGAAAGAUUUAUCGGUUCUGGAUGAGCCCGCGUUGGAUUAGCUAGUUGGUGAGGUAAUGGCUCACCAAGGCGACGAUCCAUAGCUGGUCUGAGAGGAUGAUCAGCCACACUGGGACUGAGACACGGCCCAGACUCCUACGGGAGGCAGCAGUGGGGAAUAUUGGACAAUGGGCGAAAGCCUGAUCCAGCCAUGCCGCGUGAGUGAUGAAGGCCUUAGGGUUGUAAAGCUCUUUCAGUGGGGAAGAUAAUGACGGUACCCACAGAAGAAGCCCCGGCUAACUUCGUGCCAGCAGCCGCGGUAAUACGAAGGGGGCUAGCGUUGUUCGGAUUUACUGGGCGUAAAGCGCACGUAGGCGGAUCGUUAAGUCGGGGGUGAAAUCCUGGAGCUCAACUCCAGAACUGCCUUCGAUACUGGCGAUCUUGAGUCCG